rnacentral:rRNA from 1 species
UGGGGAAUAUUGGACAAUGGGCGAAAGCCUGAUCCAGCCAUGCCGCGUGUGUGAAGAAGGUCUUCGGAUUGUAAAGCACUUUAAGUGGGGAGGAAGGGCAGUAAGAGAAGACCUGGCGGUUUGGACGUAACCGAAAGAAUAAGCACCGGCAAACCCGGUGCCAGCAGCCGGGGUAAUAAAGAGGGGGCAAGCGUUAAUCGGAAUUACUGGGGGUAAAGCGCGGGUAGGGGGUUGGUUAAGUUGAAUGUGAAAGCCCCGGGCCCAACCUGGGAACUGCAUCCAAAACUGGCGAGCUAGAGUAGGGCAGAGGGGGGUGGAAUUUCCUGGGUAGCGGUGAAAUGCGUAGAUAUAGGAAGGAACACCAGUGGCGAAGGCGACCACCUGGGCUCAUACUGACACUGAGGUGCGAAAGCGUGGGGGGCAAACAGG